rnacentral:rRNA from 1 species
UACGUAGGGGGCAAGCGUUGUCCGGAAUCAUUGGGCGUAAAGAGCGUGUAGGCGGUCCGUUAAGUCGGCUGUGAAAGUCCAAGGCUCAACCUUGGGAUGCCGGUCGAUACUGCCGGACUAGAGUUCGGAAGAGGCGAGUGGAAUUCCCGGUGUAGCGGUGAAAUGCGCAGAUAUCGGGAGGAACACCUAUGGCGAAGGCAGCUCGCUGGGACGUUACUGACGCUGAGACGCGAAAGCGUGGGGAGGCAAACAGG